UACAGAGGGUGCAAGCGUUAAUCGGAAUUACUGGGCGUAAAGCGUGCGUAGACGGUUACAUAAGUCAGGUGUGAAAGCCCCGGGCUCAACCUGGGAAUUGCAUUUGAGACUGUGUAGCUAGGGUGCGGAAGAGGGAAGCGGAAUUUCCGGUGUAGCGGUGAAAUGCGUAGAUAUCGGAAGGAACACCAGUGGCGAAAAGCGGCUUCCUGGUCCAGCACCGACGUUCAGGCACGAAAGCGUGGGGAGCAAA
rnacentral:rRNA from 1 species